rnacentral:rRNA from 1 species
UGGGAACCUUCCCUAUGGUUCGGAAUAGCUCAGGGAAACUUGGGGUAAUACCGGAUAAGCCCCUCGGGGGAAAGAUUUAUCGCCAUUGGAUGGGCCCGCGUCGGAUUAGCUAGUUGGUGAGGUAACGGCUCACCAAGGCAACGAUCCGUAGCUGGUCUGAGAGGAUGAUCAGCCACACUGGGACUGAGACACGGCCCAGACUCCUACGGGAGCAG